rnacentral:rRNA from 1 species
CCCGUCACACCACGAAAGUUGGUAACACCCGAAGCCGGCGAACCGACGCGCAAGCGAGGGAACCGUCGAAGGUGGGAUCGAUGAUUGGGGUGAAGUCGUAACAAGGUACC